GGACCCGCACAAGCGGUGGAGCAUGUGGUUUAAUUCGACGAUACACGAAGAACCUUACCUGGACUUGACAUAGUAAGAAUGAUUUAGAGAUAGAUUAGUGUCUGCUUGCAGAAACUUGCAUACAGGUGCUGCACGGCUGUCGUCAGCUCGUGUCGUGAGAUGUUGGGUUAAGUCCCGCAACGAGCGCAACCCUCGUCCUUAGUUGCUAACAGUUCGGCUGAGAACUCUAAGGAGACUGCCUACGCAAGUAGGAGGAAGGUGAGGAUGACGUCAAGUCAUCAUGGCCCUUACGUCCAGGGCUACACACGUGCUACAAUGGGGUAUACAAAGAGCAGCAAUACGGUGACGUGGAGCAAAUCUCAAAAAUGCCUCCCAGUUCGGAUUGUAGUCUGCAACUCGACUACAUGAAGUUGGAAUCGCUAGUAAUCGUAGAUCAGCUAUGCUACGGUGAAUACGUUCCCGGGUCUU
rnacentral:rRNA from 1 species